rnacentral:lncRNA from 1 species
GCUGCGUGGCGCGUGCGCAGGCGCGUGCGCGCCGCGGUGCCGUAGCGGCGGCUGCUGGCGAGGGUCGCGCGCCGCGUCUCCUUUUCGCUCCCUGUGGCGUGACGCCCCCUCAGCCUCGUUCGGGAUCCGUUUCCCUUGCCGGAGCCCGGCGGCGGCGAGCACUCCAGUUGGUGAGCUCCUAAGUUAUUUCUCAACUGAACUGUUCUUUUAAGGUAAGAUUCUCAGGGUGCCUUCCCUCCUCACCAUCCCCCAUUCCGUAUCUGUGCCAUUAUAAUACU